rnacentral:misc_RNA from 1 species
GAUGAAGAACGUAGCGAAAUGCGAUAAGUAAUGUGAAUUGCAGAAUUCAGUGAAUCAUCGAGUCUUUGAACGCACAUUGCGCCCCCUGGUAUUCCGGGGGGCAUGCCUGUCCGAGCGUCAUUGCUGCCCUCAAGCACGACUUGUGUGUUGGGCCCCCGUCCCCGGUUUCCCCCGGGGACGGGCCCGAAAGGCAGCGGCGGCACCGCGUCCGGUCCUCGAGCGUAUGGGGCUUUGUCACCCGCUCUGUAGGCCCGGCCGGCGCCAGCCGACACCCAACUUUAUUUCUAAGGUUGACCUCGGAUCAGGUAGGGAUACCCGCUGAACUUAAGCAUAUCAAUAAGCGGAGGA